rnacentral:rRNA from 1 species
UGGGGAAUCUUGCGCAAUGGCCGGAAGGCUGACGCAGCGACGCCGCGUGUGGGAUGACGCCUUUCGGGGUGUAAACCACUGUUGCCCGGGACGAACGACCCUAUUCGUGGGGUGUGACGGUACCGGGUGCGGAAGCACCGGCUAACUCCGUGUCAGCAGCCGCGGUAAUACGGAGGGUGCGAGCGUUGUCCGGAAUCACUGGGCGUAAAGGGCGCGUAGGCGGCUGGGGAAGUCGGUGGUGAAAGCUCGUGGCUCAACUGCGAGUCGGCCAUUGAUACUCCUCGGCUCGAGCACUGUAGAGGCAGGUGGAAUUCCGGGUGUAGCGGUGGAAUGCGUAGAGAUCCGGAAGAACACCGGUGGCGAAGGCGGCCUGCUGGGCAGUAGCUGACGCUGAGGCGCGACAGCGUGGGGAGCAAA